rnacentral:lncRNA from 1 species
CAAGAGUUUUUGUAAUAUCCAUCUUUUUCCUAACCUGUUCCCUUGAGUACAACAAGUUAGAAAAUCCAUUCCACAAUAUUCUCAUAAGAUUUGCAUUUUUUACAGCUUAAUUUAAUUUUCAAUUUCCACCAACACACGAGGGAAAGAAAAUCCAACUUUUACCACCAUAGACAACAAAAAUCAAUUACAUCUAUUUACCUUACAC